AGAGAUUUAAGUUAAUAAAACUAAUAGCCUUCAAAGCUCUAAUUGGCACCAAAACCAAUCUCUA
rnacentral:tRNA from 1 species